CUUUCCCGUCUGUUGUUUUAAUAACAAAAUAAUUCCUGCAACACCCCAGUGUGAAGUUUAAAAUGAUUUAUAGCAGCCACAGAGAACCAUUCCUGACAACGUGGAACAGCUUCAAUAUGUUUUUCUCAAAAGAGAGGAGGGUUGUCAGUCUUCCUGGCACUUCACAAUGUCAGUUACUCCUCGACUGUCGCAUGGAAUGCACCCUAGACAAAGGAGGCAAUUGCUUGUGAAACUCCAAGGCUCACAGAGACUGAAAAAAUAAAUGAACUAGACUGUAUGUAUACCCAAACAUGGGAAGGUCGGGAAGCUAUAGAACGAAGACAGCACCCUUUGGAGUCAGCUCACCACUACGAAACAUCCAGACAGUGCCACUUCUAAAUGUACAAUCUUGGCACGUUACAUUGCUGCUUCCCUCACAGGAUUGUCAUGUGAUAAUGCAUUCGAGCACUUAGCGUGGUGAUUCACGUUCAACAUAUUUUUGUUCCAUUUCUCCCCUUCCUACCUGAUACCUGUUGAAAAGUGGUAAUGAAGACCACACGGCCUUUGUUGUGUUUAAGUGACUGAAAGGCUACAAGCAGUAAGCUGUUAUCUGCCUGUAGCUUGCCUAUACCCACUUAAACUAGAUUAUUUUCCUCCAGUCCUUCCCAUUAAAAAUAAUUGCCUCUGGGUGUAUUUGAAUGUAUUAAUUUUUUUUCUUUCUCUUCCCUUCUCUCAGAGUUAUAACUAAUGGGUCAAAACUGAAGAACAGAGAGUAUGUGAGUCACUGAGCAAAAAAGAAGGGAGAGUUAACAGCCAAAGCUUCUGUGGCACUUAUGCAGAAAAAUGACUGAUUUCAAGCUUCUAGAAACAAUCUCUUAAUGGGAGCUGAAGCCUGGAAAAAUAAGAGCCCUUCCUUGGCUGUGCACGGCCCUGCCAUCUGUGUGGGUGGGGCAGUGGAAGCCUGGAGAGUCCUAGCAAGGCCCCUGUGAGUCAAAUCUUUUACCAGGUAAAAAGGUCAGCAGAAAAAUAUAUCUGCAUAAUAUAUUACAGAAUACUCUCAUCCAUUCUGUUUUGUUGGACAUUAAUUGCACUUAUUAAUUAAAGCACAUGUACCUUAAAAGAUGAAUGAAUGAACAUGCAUCAAACAAAUUAAAAACAAAAGCUUUCAUGUCAAAAGGAAAAAAAAUGAAUGUAUGACAUUCUCAAGGAAAGGACUGGUGUGCUGUGAGGGGGGAAAAAAUGUGUCCUCCAUUUUUUAGAUUAAGCAGAAAUAUAAGGUCCAAAUGUUAAAGUCUCAAUCUAUCCCAUCUUUCAAAUUAAAAAUUUUAAUUUUCACUUUGCUAGGUGUUUCCCAUUGCAAAUUAACUUCACAUUGUUUCUUACAAUUCAAAAAUAAAGAGAUUAGGAAUUUGGUAGGAAACUGAAUGCCAAAUCCCUAUUUUUUAAAAAAGCAAGCAGCCUAACCCAGAAAAUGAACUAAGAUACGAUAGGAGGAGGAGCU